GACGAACGCUGGCGGCGUGCUUAACACAUGCAAGUCGAACGGAAAGGCCCUGCUUUUGUGGGGUGCUCGAAUGGCGAACGGGUGAGUAACACGUGAGUAACCUGCCCUUGACUUUGGGAUAACUUCAGGAAACUGGGGCUAAAACCGGAUAGGAGCUCCUGCUGCAUGGUGGGGGUUGGAAAGUUUCGGCGGUUGGGGAUGGACUCGCGGCUUAUCAGCUUGUUGGUGGGGUAGUGGCUUACCAAGGCUUUGACGGGUAGCCGGCCUGAGAGGGUGACCGGCCACAUUGGGACUGAGAUACGGCCCAGACUCCUACGGGAGGCAGCAGUGGGGAAUAUUGCACAAUGGGCGGAAGCCUGAUGCAGCAACGCCGCGUGCGGGAUGACGGCCUUCGGGUUGUAAACCGCUUUCGCCUGUGACGAAGCGUGAGUGACGGUAAUGGGUAAAGAAGCACCGGCUAACUACGUG
rnacentral:rRNA from 1 species